AACGAACGCUGGCGGCAGGCCUAACACAUGCAAGUCGAGCGGACCUUUCGGGGUCAGCGGCGGACGGGGGGGUAACGCGUGGUAAUAUGCCCUUCUCUACGGAAUACUCCUGGUAAACUGGGCUUAAUACCGUAUACGCCCUUUGGGGGAAAGAGUUAUCGGUGAAGGAUUAGCCCGCGUUGGAUUAGGUAGUUGGUGGGGUAAUGGCAUACCAAGCCGACGAUCCAUAGCUGGUGUGAUAGGAUGAUCAGCCACAAUGGGACUGAGACACGGCCCAGACUGCUACGCGACACAGCAGUAGGGAGUAUUAGACACUGGGGGCAACCGUGGUCACGCCAUGCCGCGUGUGUGAUGAAGGCCUUAGGGUUGUACAGCCCUUUCAGCUGGGAAGAUAAUGACGGUAACAGCAGAAGAAGCACCGGCUAACUACGUG
rnacentral:rRNA from 1 species